rnacentral:rRNA from 1 species
UACGAACUGUGCAAACGUUAUUCGGAAUCACUGGGCUUAAAGGGUGCGUAGGCGGCUCGUUAGGUAGGGUGUGAAAGCCCCCGGCUCAACCGGGGAAUUGCGCCCUAAACCGGCGGGCUGGAGUGAGAUAGGGGUGUGUGGAACUGCCGGUGGAGCGGUGAAAUGUGUUGAUAUCGGAAGGAACGCCGGUGGCGAAAGCGACACACUGGGUCUCAACUGACGCUGAGGCACGAAAGCCAGGGGAGCAAACGGG